UUUCCGUAGGUGAACCUGCGGAAGGAUCAUUAUUGUAUACCCGAGGUGCGAGGGCUGUCGCUGACCCGAAAGGUCGUGCACGCCCGAGUGCCCUCACACACAUCCAUCUCACCCCUAUGUGCACCUCCGCGUGGGUCCCCCUUUGGCUUGUUCGGAGGGGGGCUUACGUUUUCACACAAACUUUGUAUGCAGUGUAGAAUGUAUUUUUUGUUUUUGCGAUCACGCAAUCAAUACAACUUUCAACAACGGAUCUCUUGGCUCUC
rnacentral:misc_RNA from 1 species